UUUGGUGACUGCGCUCCCUUUAAGCCAGUUACCUCGGUUCAAAGAGUUGCUGCUCUGAGAACCUUCGAGAAAACCGCCUUGCUGGGCGGUUUUUUCGU
rnacentral:antisense_RNA from 1 species